rnacentral:rRNA from 1 species
UUCGGGAAACCGGAGCUAAUACCGGAUAAUAUUUUGAACCGCAUGGUUCAAAAGUGAAAGACGGUCUUGCUGUCACUUAUAGAUGGAUCCGCGCUGCAUUAGCUAGUUGGUAAGGUAACGGCUUACCAAGGCAACGAUGCAUAGCCGACCUGAGAGGGUGAUCGGCCACACUGGAACUGAGACACGGUCCAG